rnacentral:tRNA from 1 species
CCGCGCUCUUCACGCGGGCGAGCCUCGUUGACGACGAGGUCACGGCCACCGACGUUCUGGCCGUUGAGCGCGGUC